UUUUCACAAUUACUUCAAAGUCCUAUUGAGCGAAUUUUAAAUAUUAAAGUUAUCAUCUUUAUUUUGGAAACAAGAACAAUUUCCUGUCAAAAAAACCCAAGAACAAUUUGGAAACAAUUUCUGUGUCCUUGGAACUGCCCCUGAAUUAAUCCCCCUAAAGUCUAAGAAUGAAUUUCCUGCCACUGUUCAUCCCUUUUUUUGAGCACAUAACCGUUCUAAUUUUCGAGUACUGUUCAUCAGUACCACUUUUCUGACCCAGACUCCUGAUUCCCUUCUAGCCCUGGUAUCUCCUUCAUCAGUAGCAUGUACGGAUUCAACAGCUGCCCAUAUCUUCCACAGCCGUAAUGUAUCUUCCGGAGAUUCAUAUGUAGAUUGCGAAGGACGGUUGCUUGAUCUGUAAUUGCCCCUCUAUCUGAGCUUGAAUAUCGGUCACCAUGGUUGCUAUAAAAACUCAAUCGAUGUUCAUUCACCGGAGAACCGACAAACACCACCUUCAACCGCCGCAAGCAUCGCGAAACCCAGUUUGAUUAUGUAGAAUGAUCAAUAUGGAGAAGUAUAAUAGUGAAGGUAAGUCCUAAAAACAGGGCAGCAACUAGGCAAUCAAAAACCCACUAUUUGUAAGAUUGGGAUUCCACUGUUCAUGGUGAUUUUAUGGACAUUCUAGAGUUUUUCUCUCUACUAUUCAUGGCUUCAGAAAGCACAUAAGGAGAGGUAUCUUAAUCCAGCUGGUUGUACUGCAUUUUCACAAACAUAUAUGCUUUUUUGUUUUUCAGGUUUGAACAUACAGACUAAUGUUCUUUCAAUGCAAAUAGCCUUAAAGAUAUGAGUGACUGAUAAAUUAUACCAAGAAAAAUGUUCAUAUAGUUACACUAUCAAGAUAAGCUUUUGAUUGCUAGCCUUUGAUGCCCAAUUUGUUCUCUAUUUGAAUUGAUAUGCAUAUGAGAGCUAACAUAGGGAAAUUGAAAAGCUCUCCUUUCAAUAGUGUUAUCAAGUCAUUCAUUGCUAUUUUGCAUCAAUGUCAAACUUUCAGGUUAAUAAAGUCAAAAAAUAUCUGGUGUAGCUUAUAUUAUGAUAAACCUCUGUUAUACUUACAAUUGUUGUCAUUUUAUAUACUCCAUUUGGCUAGCUUUCAUACAUAUAACAAUAAAAGUGCAUAGUCUUAAUUUUAUAGAAAACGUUUAUACAAGCCAUUUGAGCAAGAUCAUUAGCUGCUUUGCUCUUGGUAGCAUUUGGGUUUUCCAAUGGCUCUUUCAAGAAGGAAAGGAUUGGCGUAUUUGAGUCAACAAUGAUUAUCUUUCUUUGAAGGAGCAGAAGAUUGAAAAAUAAGUUGCUAUGGCAAAGUACAUAUGGAGGACCCUUUUGCUAUUGUUGAGUAAUGUUACGAUUACAGCUGAACCUUAGUGGGAAUGGCUGCUGAUGCACUUUGCCAUUGUUGAGUAGUGUUUAUUUUCUUAUAAUGGGACACUGAUACGCUUUUGAUGCACCCAAUAUGUACAUACUUUCCUUAAAGCUCUCUUGUUGCAAUGAUAUCGUUCAUCAUACAAGCAACUUAAUUUCAACUGAUGUAAUUUGGCCUUGGAGCUUUGAUCAUUGUGCUUAUAUUUAUAUUGACUUCAUUUUGUCA